GAUGAACGCUGGCGGCGUGCCUAAUACAUGCAAGUCGAGCGAACAGAUGAGGAGCUUGCUCCUCUGACGUUAGCGGCGGACGGGUGAGUAACACGUGGAUAACCUACCUAUAAGACUGGGAUAACUUCGGGAAACCGGAGCUAAUACCGGAUAAUAUAUUGAACCGCAUGGUUCAAUAGUGAAAGACGGUUUUGCGUUCAUUAAUAGAUGAAUCCGCGCCGCAUUAGCUAGUUGGUAAGGUAACGGCUUACCAAGGCAACGAUGCGUAGCCGACCUGAGAGGGUGAUCGGCCACACUGGAACUGAGACACGGUCCAGACUCCUACGGGAGGCAGCAGUAGGGAAUCUUCCGCAAUGGGCGAAAGCCUGACGGAGCAACGCCGCGUGAGUGAUGAAGGUCUUCGGAUCGUAAAACUCUGUUAUUAGGGAAGAACAAAUGUGUAAGUAACUAUGCACGUCUUGACGGUACCUAAUCAGAAAGCCACGGCUAACUACGUG
rnacentral:rRNA from 1 species